GAGAGCAUAGCUUGAGUGGUAAAACGUUUGCUUAUCAAGCUCAAGGCCCUGGGUUCAAACCCCAGUACUGCCA
rnacentral:tRNA from 1 species